CACGUAGGGGGCGAGCGUUGUUCGGAAUUACUGGGCGUAAAGGGCAUGUAGGCGGUUCUGUAAGCCUGACGUGAAAGGCUAUGGCUCAACCAUGGCACUGCGUUGGGAACUGCGGGACUUGAAUCAUGGAGAGGGAGCUGGAAUUCCAGGUGUAGGGGUGAAAUCUGUAGAUAUCUGGAAGAACACCAGCGGCGAAGGCGAGCUCCUGGCCAAUGAUUGACGCUGAGGUGCGAAAGUGUGGGGAUCAAACAGGAUUAGAGACCCUGGUAGUCCACACUGUCAACGAUGUGCACUAGGUGCUGGGGCGGACGCUUCAGUGCCGGAGCUAACGCGGUAAGUGCACCGCCUGGGGAGUAUGCUCGCAAGGGUGAA
rnacentral:rRNA from 1 species